rnacentral:lncRNA from 1 species
CCGGAAGCAGAGAGAGCUCAGGGAGGAGGGGCGGAAGUGCAUCUUCCAGGCCACGCCCCAUAAUCACCUUCUUCAACCAGGCCUCACCUCCCAGCAUCACCUUCGGCUCUGACCUCCUCAGUGGACGAGUUGCCCACCUAGGAGUACAUGAGGCUCUGUGGGGCGGGGUUCCAGAAAUAAACGAAUAUAAAGGAGGAAGCCGGGUGUGGUGGCACACGCCUGUAAUCCCAGCACUCGGGAGGCUGAGGCAAGAGUUCGAGAUCAGCCUGGGAUACAUAGUGAGUUCAGAGCCAGCCUGAACUACAAAGGGAGACGCUGCCUC